CAGCGGCCGCAGCGUAAUGACGAGACGGGGCUGGAAAAGACAAACCCAGAUGCUGCGUGGAGGAAAAAAAGAGGAAACCAGAUGAAUGAUGAUGAAUGAAUAUUGAGAGAAAAAUCAGGGAGAAAGAAAUCGAUGUGUUGACAGCGCGGAGAGAUUGAAUUAGCAGCUGCAGCGCCGGCACCAGCGGCUCAGAUGAGCGGCUACCUGCAGGCCGCAGGGACCGCGGCUCCGCUGCUUCCACCACACACGGCAGCCCAUAAUAUGCAUUACUGCAGGACAGUCAAAACCAGGGGAAAGUCUGAGUUUCGAUUUCCACAGGGAGUUUAAAAAGUCCUAUUUCAGCGUUCUUUUUCUUAUUGCCAGAACACCACUAUAAUCAGUAUUUGUAACUGUAACAAUUGCAGUUUAAAACGCCGACACCUGACAUCUCAGAAUACCAUGAACAGUUUCAAAUGAUGUGGCGAUUAAAGGUGAUGGGCAAAUUCUUUAAGAUGUAAUUAUUUGCGGCUUCAUGACGCUGUAAAAAUCGGAACACGUCUGCAAAUGUGUUGUCAGGCAGUACAUAAUGUCAUAUAAUGCCGCUGUUGCUCAAUAAUUUGAACGCAGACGUGGGUGCAGGCCGACGUCAUCAGAACGCAAACAGCGUCCCCCCUAAAACAGUCAGCUGUCUCGUCUCUUCUCUGCUCAUGUUGCACACAGUGAAUGCCUGUGGCCUUACAGGCAGGUGUCCGCUCCCUCUUCUGUCCAGGUAAGCGCUUUAUGAACUGCCUUGUAAAACCCCGCAUCACCCUGAAACCGCACUGGGAACGGACACGGAUUAAUGUGUGUCUUGAAGGAGAAAUAUGGCGGACGAAAGUGAAGCUGAUCCAGAAAAAAAAACCCUGCUCAUGUUCCCGAGUCACAUC